UCUCUUCCCAAUAGAGUUCACUCUUAAAAUUCCCAACGGAGUUCCUCCGUCUUGUUACACUCUUUUACUUGUUGAAAUCCCAAACGAACACUAAAAACCCCUCGGAAUCCCAAUUGAAUACAAAGCGCCAGUUUUGUACACUGUCCUGCAUAAAGCCCCCAAUUGGAGCACCAAGAGCCAAGCUGGCAGAAGAAGAUGGCGCACGGCGGCGGACCAAGGCAGGUGAAACUGGACCGAGAGAGCGAGCUCAGAAUCGAAGUCGGCUACGACGCCCCUCUCAAGCUCCGCCUGCUCAGCGGCAGCGCUGAGAUCUUCGGCACCGAGCUCCCUCCUGAUUUCUAGCUCACCUUCCCGCCCAGGCUCAAAUUUGCUGUUUUUACUUGGAACGGAGCCACAAUUGAGAUGGAGGGCAGUACGGAAACCGAGUACACGGCUGACGAGACUCCAAAUAUCAGCUAUGUGAAUGUGCACGCCGUACUGGAAGAACGGAGACACCGUGCUAAACCCUUGCCGCCUGAUGACCCCAAUUCUCAGAUUAUUGGAGGAGCAGCCAAUUCGUUUUCUGACGCCAUACCUGCCAGCAAACAAACUGUAGAUCAGGGUAUGCAGAAUAUGGGUCACAAAAAGCAUCGGAGAUAAUUCUCAACCUAUAAGUCUUGAUUGUGUUUUCGUUGAUAAAGAUGAGAUCAAGCAAAGUUGUCCCUCAUGCUGCCAUAAUCGAAUUGAAUAGGAUGGGGAUGUGGUGCAUAUAUUGUGUGGUUGGAAAGAUAUUAUAUAUACUAAAAGCCAGUUGAAACCAGCACUGUUCAGCAAUACUGAUUUGACGGAUCAGCCCCUGGUUUGUUUGGGUUUUGGCGCUGCUUUCUUCCUUUUCUAUAGUAAAAUUUCUACUUUGCCCGCGCUGGGUGGGUUCUUUUCCAGUGGCCAAAUUGCCCUCAGGCUUUUUCAUGCCUUCUGAUUGUUUUUGGUGGUUCGUGCAGGGACAAGUUGGGAAUUGUGUGUGACACGUGUCGGUCAUCGUGCUAUUCUCUUUUGGGGUUUAUUUUGCUUGCUUUUUGUUUCCGUUUCUCCCUUGCAUUGGUGGUUUUCUAUCGCUCUCAGCUUCUCUUUUCUUUUGGUUCCCGUUGUGUGCUUCUCUUUGGUGCGCUUUUGUGUUUUGUUCUUCUCAACCAUGGUUUUCAGAACGUCGCAGGUGCUUCCUUCUUCUGAUAACUCUGUGGGUUUUAAACUGUGAGAGGAGUUGGCUCCUGUGGCGAGAGAGGUCUAGGUGCGUCAUUUGGGGAAGCAGAGGUUGGGGAAAGAGACAGAGGGUGUAAGAAGUGUCGUUGCAGGUGAGCAUUUGAGGAUAAAUGGAAAACAUUUGCCCAACUCCUGUUAAUCAGUUAAUACCAUACAUGAAGGCUGACAAAAUCAAAGUUCGAAUAUGCAGAAUUUGGAAAUCCAUCAUCCUAGGAACUAUUCAGAAGUACACUGCCCUGCAUUGUGUGUUCGUCGAUGAAGCGCAACAUGCGGUAGAGGGCUGUACAUCAGAUGGUGAUCACGAUGUUAUGGCCUCCAAAAUUGAAGCCGGUGGAUGUUAUGAAAUCAUGGAUUUUCGGACUGUUAAAAUUAGGGCACAAUACAAGGCAGUACCGCAUGAAACCUUGAUUUUGUUCAACUCGAAAACAGUGUUUCAAAAAUUAGCAAGCGUCUUCCCUCCUAUCCCUCGCCAUUGAUUUUUUCUGCAAGAUUAUAACACACUGUACCCUCGCUUGAACAGUGUUGACAUUCUCAUAGGUACUUUUAAUCUAUAUAUGGAUGUGCAUGGGU